rnacentral:rRNA from 1 species
GACAGAGGGUGCAAACGUUUGUUCGGAAUUACUGGGCGUAAAGCGAGUGUAGGCGGUCUGAAAAGUCGGGUGUGAAAGCCCUGGGCUCAACCCAGGAAGUGCACUCGAAACUGCCAGGCUAGAGUAUCGGAGAGGUUGGUGGAAUUCUCGGUGUAGAGGUGAAAGUUCGUAAGAUAUCGAGAGGAACACCGGUGGCGAAGGCGGCCAACUGGACGAAUACUGACGCUGAGACUCGAAAGCGUGGGGAGCAAACAGG